GUAGCAGCCGUUGGAUGUAUUAUCAGGGCUUUGGAGCUGUGCUCCGGCUCUGCUCCAGCUCCACACAAAAACCUGCAGCUCCUCUGUUCCAGAGCUGCUCCGCGCUCCAGCUUCAGGCUCUGCUCCAAAGCCCUGAU